CCUACGGGUGGCUGCAGUGGGGAAUAUUGGACAAUGGGGGCAACCCUGAUCCAGCCAUGCCGCGUGUGUGAAGAAGGCCCUCGGGUUGUAAAGCACAUUCAGUGAGGAAGAACGCCUGGUGGUUAAUACCCAUCAGGAAAGACAUCACUCACAGAAGAAGCACCGGCUAACUCCGUGCCAGCAGCCGCGGUAAUACGGAGGGUGCGAGCGUUAAUCGGAAUUACUGGGCGUAAAGCGCGCGUAGGUGGCUUGAUAAGCCGGUUGUGAAAGCCCCGGGCUCAACCUGGGAACGGCAUCCGGAACUGUCAAGCUAGAGUGCAGGAGAGGAAGGUAGAAUUCCCGGUGUAGCGGUGAAAUGCGUAGAGAUCGGGAGGAAUACCAGUGGCGAAGGCGGCCUUCUGGACUGACACUGACACUGAGGUGCGAAAGCGUGGGUAGCAAACAGGAUUAGAUACCCCAGUAGUC
rnacentral:rRNA from 1 species